GAUGAACGCUGGCGGCGUGCCUAAUACAUGCAAGUCGAGCGAACAGACGAGGAGCUUGCUCCUCUGACGUUAGCGGCGGACGGGUGAGUAACACGUGGAUAACCUACCUAUAAGACUGGGAUAACUUCGGGAAACCGGAGCUAAUACCGGAUAAUAUAUUGAACCGCAUGGUUCAAUAGUGAAAGACGGUUUUGCUGUCACUUAUAGAUGGAUCCGCGCCGCAUUAGCUAGUUGGUAAGGUACAGGCUUACCAAGGCAACGAUGCGUAGCCGACCUGAGAGGGGGAUCGGCCACACGGGAGCUUAGACACGGUCCAGACUCCUACGGGAGGCAGCAGUAGGGAAUCUUCGGCAAUGGGCGAAAGCCUGACGGAGCAACGCCGCGUGAGUGAUGAAGGUCUUCGGAUCGUAAAACUCUGUUAUUAGGGAAGAACAAAUGUGUAAGUAACUAUGCACGUCUUGACGGUACCUAAUCAGAAAGCCACGGCUAACUACGUG
rnacentral:rRNA from 1 species